rnacentral:piRNA from 1 species
UGGUGGAUCUGCUCCAUGAGAACCCGCUU